rnacentral:rRNA from 1 species
GUGAAAUGCAUAGAUAUUACGAGGAACUCCAAUUGCGCAGGCAGCUUACUAGCUACACUGACGCUGAGGCACGAAAGCGUGGGUAUCAAACAGGAUUAGAUACCCUGGUAGUCCACGCAGUAAACGAUGAUUACUAGCUGUUUGUGAUAUAAAUAAGUGGCUAAGCGAAAGCGAUAAGUAAUCCACCUGGGGAGUACGCCGGCAACGGUGAAACUCAAAGGAAUUGACGGGGGCCCGCACAAGCGGAGGAACAUGUGGUUUAAUUCGAUGAUACGCGAGGAACCUUACCCGGGCUUGAAAUGACUCGACCGACUGAGAGAUCAGUUUUCUAGCAAUAGCGAGUAUGUAGGUGCUGCAUGGUUGUCGUCAGCUCGUGCCGUGAGGUGUCGGCUUAAGUGCCAUAACGAGCGCAACCCACAUUGUUAGUUACUAACAGGUCAAGCUGAGGACUCUGACAAGACUGCCAGCGUAAGCUGGAGGAAGGUGUGGAUGACGUCAAAUCAGCACGGCCCUUACGUCCGGGGCGACACACGUGUUACAAUGGGGGGUACAAAGAGCUGCUACUGGGUGACCAGAUGCUAAUCUCAAAAGCCUCUCCCAGUUCGGAUCGGAGUCUGCAACUCGACUCCGUGAAGCUGGAUUCGCUAGUAAUCGCGCAUCAGCAUGGCGCGGUGAAUACGUUCCCGGGCCUUGUACACACCGCCCGUCAAGCCAUGGAAGCUGGGGGUACCUGAAGUACGUAACCGUAAGGAGCGUCCUAGGGUAAAACUGGUAACUGGGGCUAAGUCGUAACAAGGUAACCA